rnacentral:rRNA from 1 species
UAUUAAAGAAUUUCGAUAAUCGAUGGGGAUGCGUUCCAUUAGUUUGUUGGCGGGGUAACGGCCCACCAAGACGUCGAUGGAUAGGGGUUCUGAGAGGAAGGUCCCCCACAUUGGAACUGAGACACGGUCCAAACUCCUACGGGAGGCAGCAGUGAGGAAUAUUGGUCAAUGGACGAGAGUCUGAACCAGCCAAGUAGCGUGAAGGAUGACUGCCCUAUGGGUUGUAAACUUCUUUUAUAUGGGAAUAAAGUGAGCCACGUGUGGCUUUUUGUAUGUACCAUACGAAUAAGGAUCGGCUAACUCCGUGCCAGCAGCCGCGGUAAUACGGAGGAUCCGAGCGUUAUCCGGACUUAUUGGGUUUAAAGGGAGCGUAGGCGGAUUAUUAAGUCAGUUGUGAAAGUUCGCGGCUCAACCGUAAAAUUGCAGUCGAUACUGGUAGUCUUGAGUGCAGCAGAGGUAGGCGGAAUUCGUGGUGUAGCGGUGAAAUGCUUAGAUAUCACGAAGAACUCCGAUUGCGAAGGCAGCUUACUGGACUGUAACUGACGCUGAUGCUCGAAAGUGUGGGUAUCAAACAGGAUUAGAUACCCUGGUAGUCCACACAGUAAACGAUGAAUACUCGCUGUUUGCGAUAUACAGCAAGCG